rnacentral:rRNA from 1 species
UUUGAGUAUGUAUUUGUUAAGCCUUAUAAGAGAAAAGUUUAUUAACUUAAGGAAUUAUAACAAAGAAGUAACACAUAAUAAAUUUCGAUUUAUUUAGUGUGUAUCAAUCGAGUUUCUGACCUAUCAGCUUUUGAUGUUAGGGUAUUGGCCUAACAUGGCUAUGACGGGUAACGGGGAAUUAGAGUUCGAUUCCGGAGAGGGAGCCUGAGAAAUAGCUACCACAUCUAAGGAAGGCAGCAGGCGCGUAAAUUACCCAAUUCUAAAGAAGAGAGGUAGUGACAAGAAAUAACAAUGCAAGGCCAAAUUUUGGUUUUGCAAUUGGAAUGAUGGGAAUUUAAAACCUUCCCAGAAGGCAAUUGGAGGGCAAGUCUGGUGCCAGCAGCCGCGGUAAUUCCAGCUCCAAUAGCGUAUAUUAAAAUUGUUGCAGUUAAAACGCUCGUAGUUGAAUUUCAAGGAAUCAAUAUUUUAAGUAAUGCUUUGUAUAUUUAUAACAAAGUUGUACAUUAAGAAUAAACGCCAAGCGUUAUAUUUUUUCUGUUACAUUUUGUUUUAUUAAUAUAUAUAUGCGUUCUUAUUAUAAAAAUGAUUCUUUUUAAAAUUCUUUUGUAUAAUUUUUUAUGCAUGGGAAUUUUGUUACUUUGAGUAAAUUAGAGUGUUCAAAGCAAACAGUUAAAACAGUUUCUGUGUUUGAAUACUACAGCAUGGAAUAACAAAAUUGAACAAGUCAAAAUUUUGUUCUUUUUUCUUAUUUUGGCUUAGUUACGAUUAAUAGGAGUAGCUUGGGGGCAUUUGU